AUACUUCCAACUUUUUUUUCUUCAAUAAAUUACUUUUUGUUCAACAAAUAUUCCAGGUAUUACAUAAUUGCAAGUUGAAAUUAUUUACUUUUUUGUAUUGCAAUCCCUGAUAGCCUGUACCUUACUACUUAGUUUAUCAUAUUCACAUCUAUUGAUUUCUGAUUUCCCCCAUGCUGUCUAUUGUUUCUUUCUAGCCAUAUCAAGUAAAUGUGUGCAUUCCAUGCAAGCUUAAGAAUAGAAGUCAGCAAUGUCUUCCCUUUAAACUUCUCGAUGGCCCAUUGCAAUUCUCUUUGCCAUCCUAUAACUGAUCUUAGAAGACCACACAAUGAAAGAACUCCUUCCCAAACCUCCUUAGAAUAGCAGCAGUCGAAGAAAAGAUGAUCCCCUUGUUUCUAAUUCCCUGUCACACAAUAAACAAUUCCCUUCUAUAUUCAUUCCUCUUUUGAUCAAUCUGUCCCUAGUUGGCAGUCUGUUAUGAAGAGCCAUCCAGCUAACCAAAGAAUGCUUGGUAUGUAUAAAGGAUACCAAAUAAGCUUCCUUCAAGAUAUACUUUCUCAUUCCUUUCCCUUAUCGCAUCUCAAAUCCGCUUGAUUUGAUACUUUUUCUCCUUGGUUCAACCUCAGUUCAGAUUGUGAAGAAGCUAGAUUUGCAACAAUAUGCUCCAGCUCCAACUCCAACUCCCAUUACUAGGGACUUGCAUAACAGAUUUGCCUUUAAGCAUAUAUGCCUGAAUCCAUGCCGCCCAUAAUGAUCCUGCUUGCAUCAUUACAGACCACAAAUGUUGAAAAAUACUUGCUUUGUUCUAACUUUCUAACUCCCUCAAGCUUAAUCCUCCUUCUGCCUUAGGCAUACGAAUAACCUUUCAAUUAACUCUUGCCCCCUUGCCAUCCUCACUCCUCCCCCCUCCAAAAAAAUCUCAUGCACUACUGAUUUUUCCUUUUAAGCACACCUUUAGGAAUUAUUAAGUGCCUAAACCAGAAACCUUGUAUUAGUUGUAAUCUACCAUCAUAAGACAAAACUUAUUUGCACAAUCAUACUAAGGGUACACCAAGGUACCUAACUGGAAAAUUACCAAAUUUGAACCCUGUCACCUGCAGUAUGUUGCGCUUCAGCAUCAGAUAUGCCGGAAGAAAAGACAUCACUUUUGGAACUAUUAAGCUGUAGGCCAGAGAAACAGUAAAACUGCCGUAGCACACACUGAACACCAACAACAGAUUCCAAAUUUCCUUUAGCAAAAAUUAACAAAUCAUCAGCAAAGCUGAGAUGUGUUGGUUUAACUUUUUUGCUCUGAGGAUAGUAUUGAAAUAACCCAUUCUCAACAGCCUUAUCAAGCAUUUUGGAGAGAACAUUCAUUGCGGAUCCCCUUGCCUUGUACCUUUGGCAUCUUUAAAGUAUCCUACCAAUCCUCCAUUAAAAGAAAUUGAAUACCAAGGUUGUGUGACACAACUCCUAACCCAAUGAAUAAACAAUAGUGGAAAUCCCAAAGCCUCCAAAGUUGCAAAGAUAAAAUCCCAAUUAAGGAAGUUGUAAGCCUUUUGAAGAUCAACCUUCAUGGCACAUCUAGGUGACAGUGAUUUCCUGCCAUACCCUAACCAUCUCCUGAGCUAAAAGAAUAUUAUCAGAAACACUCCUUCCAUGAAUAACAGCUGACUGAUUGCCUGCAUUAAGUUUAGGUAGAAAACUUGACAUUCUAUCAAUCAAAAUUCUAGUGAUGCAUUUAUAGAUCACUGAACAACAAGAGAUUGGCCUGAAGUCCUUCAUACAACUUGAAUUUAACUUCUUAGGCACUAAGGCAACAAGUGUUGACUGUUGAGUUAAAAGCUGGCAGCAAAUUAUUAACCUGAAAAAAUUCCAAGACUGCUGCAGUAACAUCAUCCCCAACAAUAUUCCUAGUUUUUAAAAAAUAAGCUUUCUGAGCAAACAUUGCAUUUUUUACUUCUCGUCUUUCAAUACGGUUUCCAAUAACUUCUUGAUCAUCAGAUGUUAAAGAACAUUGAUAUAGCUCUUGCAAUAAUCCCCCUGAUGGCACAACCACUGCAGUAUCAAAAGUCCCCAAAAUUCUUUUAAAAUAUCCAACAAUCUCCUCUGUAAGCUCAGCCUGCGAUUCUACCCUUCCACCACUCUUAGUAACCAAGACUUCAAUAGUACUUCUGUUGUUUCUUGCUGCCACAACACUAUGAAAAAAACUGGUGUUUUGAUCCCCUUCUUUCAACCACUAAAUCCGAGAUUUUUGUUUAAAAAAACUUCCCUCUUCUGCCAACAGCUCCUUAUUUUGACCAUAAAGAAGCCUUUCCUUCUCUAAUAUCUCAACUGUCUAACUCCAGCUGAGCAGCUUCCAAUUCUUUCCUUUUAUCCUGCACCUUUUCUGAUAAAUCUCCAUAGCACCGUUUAUUGAAACCUCUAAGCAAAUGCUUCAAUCUUUUUAACUUUAGGAAACUCACCUUCAUAGCAGUCCCCUCCACUGGCUUACUCCAAGAUUUCUCCACCAUUGUCAGAAAUUCUGGAUGACUAGUCUAGAAAUUAUAGAACUUAAAAGGUUUCGAAAUGGUUGGCGUAUAUCGAUUUAAACCAACAAAAAUUAGGCAGUGAUCAGAAAUUUGUGGUGACAAUAACUCAACAAAAGAAUUCGUGAAACUCACACACCAACUGCAAUAUCAAAUUUUGCCACUAAUUUUUUGUUUCAUUCGAUUUUGCCACUAAAUUUUAAUUUUUUAAUUGAAUUUUCUAGAGCUAAAAGUUAAUUUUGAAUUUGAAACAAAAAUUAAUAAAAUAUAAUAUAAUAUGUUUUCAAAGUUCAUUUUAAUGAUCAAUAUGAUAAAUUAAUAAAUUAAAUAUUUAAAAUAAUAAUUUUAUUUUCUAAAUUAAACAUUUAAUAAUAUAAUACUAUGUCACUCAUAUACACUUGAAAAUCACAAAUUUAGAACACAAAUAUCAAUUUAAAAAUCACAUACAAUAAAUAAUGAAACAUAUAAUUUAAAACUAAUUAAUAAUAACACGUUAAAUAUAUACAUUACUAAAAUAAAAAAAUUUAUAUUAAAUUGCUUAUCAUUGUAUUUCAUCAAUCUUGAGUCAUGCCGAGUUAAUUUAUGACACAAACUUAAUCAAACACAUUAUUAAAAUAGAAAAAAAUUAAAAGUUUUAUUAAUGUAAUUGGUGUGGGUUCAAAUCCUACUAUAUACAUAUUUUUAUUAAUUGUUUUUAAAGUGAAAAGACUAAAAUACCUUCAAAUAAUAUUACAUAUUUUAAGAAUAUAAUAAAAUUUAUCAAAAAUUUUAGGGGCAAAUUAAAAUUUUCAAAAAAUUUGAGUGUGAGCAAGAACACCUUUACCUCCAUUACGGUUCGCAGAGAAUAUAAAAUUGAGAGAGAAAAUAUAUGACCCCGCGAGGAUGCUAUGCUUGAUCCACAAUAUCUCAUUGACUCGUCUACAAAGUGCUCCCAUUGUACCAAGUUAGGCAAGUAGUACUCCACAGAUAGAAUGACAAAUAAAAUAUAGUUCUUGACAGAUAAGACAACAAAUGAAAUGUAGUUAAGACUUUAAUCCUACUCAAGUUUGAUACAUAUGGAUCGACCGAUUAAGUAAUAAGUAAAAAAAAUGGUAGAAUAAAUUCUUUAAAUGAUGGAGAUAAAAAUUAAAUUUUGAAAAUCCGAAAAUUAAGAACCCUUAAAACGUAAACACAAAAUUCUCUAAAUGUGUCAUGAGUUUUAAUCUCUAUAGGUUAAAUAAUAAUAAAAUAAUCUAGACUAAAUCAGAGUUUAAUUAAAACAAAUAAACAAAAUUUAACUGAAAGAUUAUUUCUUAAAUUUGAUUGAAAUAGGAGUCAUACUCACUUUAAUAUAUAUAUUAUUGUUCCAUCUCAAUAUAUAUUUAAUAUUCAUUUCAAUCCUUGAUUUCUCAAGGUGGUUUUAUUUGGAACUUUUUAUCAUGUAUUUUCCAUCAUACAAUUAAGGAUAAAAAUACAAGCAGGGAUGAAAUUUGAUCUUUACUUACAUUGGAUUUUCUUUCCCUUAAGAUGAUUUUAUUAGAGACACGUUAUUGAAUUGCUAUUUGUGAUACUAAUAUUUAUUCAUCAAAAUGAUAAUAGCUAAACGCGUCUAAUUAUUGUCCCAUUUUCCUUCACAUUAUUUUCAUGCAUAUGAAGCUAAGGGCAACAUUAAAUUAUAUAUUUUAAGGAAUUAAAAUUUGACAUUUUAUUUAAAAUUAAAUUGAAAUUUUAUCAUCUUAAUUUAUAAUUUUAAAAGAAGUACGGAAAUAAAUUUACCCUGUUCAGUGGCUAUUCCUUGCCCUUGGUGCACUACUUUUUUGGUAUCAGUGAGGUUGUAGUCAUAUUUGACCAUGACUUCCAGAAGUUUCAUGUUCACAUCUAACUCAAGUGCAAGAAAGUAAGGAUGUUCAAUAUUGCAUAAUUCUUUUGGUACGAGUAUUUUUAAAAUAAAUAAGAUUACAAUGUUUAUUGUUAUCGGUGAUGUUAAGAUUUAGGUUUUAUUUGAUAAAUUAUUGAAAAUAGUUUAAUAUAUAUAUUUAAUAAUUCAAAAUUAAUUUUUAUUUGAAAAAUUAAAAAAUAAUAAGUAGGUAAGAGCUGUUUAUCACUUAAUAGAAAAUAUUUUCAGUUAAUUUGAUUUAAUUUAUUUAAAUAUUAUAUUAUCUUAUAAAAAGAAUUUUGUUUAUUAUUUAGAAUGAGAUGAAAUGUUUAAAAAUUAAAUAUAAGAUGUAAAAUAUAAUUUUUUAAAAUUUAAAGUUUAUAUUUAUCAAAAAACUGUAAUUAAUUUUAAGUAAUAUAUCAAAUAAAAUUUAUAACUUAAAAUUUCAAAAUCUCUUAAAUGAAGAGAUAUAUAGUAACUCAUCCUUCCUUACCUUAAUUUUAUCAAAUUAAAUAUCUCAAUAUAAAAGGAUAAAUCUGGAUAAAAAAAUAAAAUUAUUCAUGAAAGGAAAAUAUUAAAAUAAUUUUAUAAUAAUAUUUAUAUCAUUCUUAAAAACUAAAAUUAUUGUUAUAUUUAAUUAAAUUUGAUCACAUAAUCAAAUAGGAACCGAGGUGUAGAAUAGAAAUUAACUUUUUAAUCAUAAUUCAAAUAAUUUAUAUAAAAUCUUGGUAGACCAGAGUCCUUAAAGUAAACAAAAUUGAAAAAGAAUGGAAGAACCUGUUAGUAAAAGAGGAUAAAAGGGACAUCAAGGAUAAAAAACAAAAACGAAAUUAAAGUUGGUCAACUGGUCAGACAUAGGACCAAGGAAACACAGGGCGUGUGUUAUGACCUUUUUGGUUGCCUUUUGCUUUGCUUCCAGCGUGAAAAUAUUUCCAUAAAUUGCAUGCAAAAAAGAAACUAGUCUUCUUAUUUCUUCUUACGGAUGUCUCUUCAGUUUCUCAAUCCCUUGAUUUUAACACACACACACACCAAAAUUACCCAUUCAAAAUCAAAAUUUGUUUUAGGAUAACUUUUCUUGGAAUUAAAAUUUACCCAGGUUUAUCUAUGCAUUUUUUUAAUUAUAAUUCUUGUUGUUUUAAAAACCCUUUAUAACUAUCCCAAAAACCCUUUAAAUUUUCUUCGCACCUUUCUUUUGGGUCUUGUUUUUUGUUUUGAUGGAGUCUACUGUACCCUUUUUGUCUCCUGUUUCACAGUCUCCGGAGAAUCAUUUUUCCUUUUAUCAUAACUUUGAACUUUUUUAUAUGGAAAAUAUAGCACAAAACAACUCUUUUGAUCAAACUCAAACCUUAGAAUCAGCCUUUUCUGGUCUUAAUGUUUCAGGUUAUCCGGAUUUACCCGAUUCUGGUUAUCAAUUUGGCGGUGGGUUUGCAAGAGCAGGACAAGAUAGAAACAACAAUGUUAUUGGCGAGGGCACAAAAGUGGGGCCAGAUGUUGAAAGUGGGGGGGCUUUCAUGUAUAGUUCGUAUCAGCUUGGUUCUAGUAGGAAUACUGAAUUCUCGAUAUUACCCUCUUCUAAUCAAACCAGGCUCUUGUCCGCUGCUGCUUCUGCUGCCGGUUGCACAAUGCCUUUUGGGUUAAACAAUAACAUAAACCGAUCUAGUUUUAAUACUAGUAAGCUUUGUAAUAAUAAUCAGACUCGGCCUCAUUGGUUACAUGAACCUUUGAAUUGUUUGAGUUUAGGGGAUUUGAGGGGUAGGCUUGUUGCCUUAGCAAAAGAUCAAUAUGGUUGUAAGUUUUUACAAAAGUCAGUUGAGAAAGCUUCAAAGGAGGAAACUGAUAUGGUUUUUAUGGAGGUUAUUGAUCAUGUUUGUGAGUUGAUGUCGAACUCUUUUGCCAAUUUUGUUGUUCAAAAAGUUGUGGAUGUUUGUAGCGAGGAACAGAAGAAUCAGAUUCUUUUGAUGGUUAUUAAGAAUCGGUUUCGACUUGUUGAGAUUUGUCUCAAUCUUCAUGGGUAUGUUUGGUUGAUUCGGUUUUGUUUUUUUUGUUUCUGGUUAAGAAGUUGUUUUGUGUUCAAUAAAUAAAACACUAAUAUGUUUUCAUUCGGUGACAGGGCUCGUGCUGUACAAAAAUUGUUGGAGAAACUUACUACUCAACAACAGAUCUCGUUGUUUAUGUCAGCUCUAAGCCCUGGAGCUGUUGCAUUGUCGAAGGAUUUGAAUGGUCAUCGUGUGAUCCAGUAUUGCUUGAAAAAUUUCUCUGAUGAAGAUAACAAGGUAGCAUUAAUUUUGGACUAGUAACGAUUUGAGUUAAAGCUUCAGUUUUUUUUUGUCUAUGUUAAUCCUGUUUUAGUUUAAUUGUUUAUGUCUUGAGUCAUUUGAAUUAAAUUGCAGGGGUUACAUGAUACUUGCUCAUAUCUAAAAUGUUACGAUAAUGAAAUAGAUGCAUUAACUGCUGUUUUGUUGACCAAGAUUUGUUUUUGCAUUGCACCUUUGUUAAUGUAAAAAAUCUUUUUUUGACCGUCGGUUUUCAUUGGCAGUAUUUUCUGAAUGUGGUGGCUAAUAACUGUUAUCAAAUUGCAUUAGACAAAUGUGGAUGUUGUGCACUGAAGCAUUGUCUUGACCACUCGAAUGGAGAGGCAAGAGCCCAUCUCUUUCAAGAGAUCAUAGCAAAUGCUCUAAACUUAGCCAAAGAUCAAUAUGGGUGCGUGGUUUUUUGAAACCGGUUGUGCGUGUGUGUUUAUUUAAAAGGUCUUUCCUUAUUGCUUCACUUGAUUUGAUGUGGAGCUUGUGCAAAUGUUUGAGCUUUGAUAUGUGCUCUUGUGUUAUUGUUUUUCUUUUUUCUCUAGCAACUAUGUGGUGCAACAUAUACUGGAACUGAAAGAGACACAAACAACAGAAAGUCUUCUCAGACAGCUUCAAGGGAAUUAUGCUUCUCUUUCCUGCAAUAGGUACGGAAGCAAUGUUGUUGAGAGAUGCUUGUUGGAAUCACAAGAACCACUGACCACGAGAAUCAUAGUGGAGUUGCUUAGAAGUCCAAUCGUGUCUACACUCCUUCUCGAUCCUUUUGGGAACUAUGUUAUUCAAUCAGCUUUGUCAGUCUCUCAGGUUUGAUAAAUCUUAAAUUCUGCUGCUUCCAUCAUCGUCGUCUUUUCAUGCACAUUGCAUUGAACAACAUGUGCUACUUGAUUAAUGUAUUUGCACCUUGAUAUGGUUGGCUUAGGCACUUUAUGAUUCCAUCUAAUCUCUUAUACGAAGCACCUCUGAUUUGUGGAACUCAUGCAGUCAUACUUCUUAGAUCCUCUAUUCUUUAGUAGGCAAAUAUCAGUGUUACCACAAAAUGGAAUGGACUAACGCAUGCUUAACGCGAUGAUUGUUUUAAAUUUGCAAUGAGCAGGGCUUUGUGUUCGAUGCUUUGCUGAAUUUGGUGCAGGAUCACUACCCAAUAAUGCGCAGCCAUAGUUAUGGAAAAUGGGUACUUGCCUGGUUCAGCAGGAGAAAGCAGUUACACAUAUAAACAAUUAUAACAUUACAAAAAUUAUAAGCAUGAAAAGAUGUGGUGAUAAAGAGAUUUUCACCUCGAAUUUCUCAUUCGUAAGGGUAGAAUUAGGAUUUUGUGUACCGAGUUUAUAAUUGAUCCGAUCCAAUGUGUAGGAUUAUUGUUGGUGCUUGUAGAUUGUAGUCUUAAUUUGUUGGCUGACACAUGAAUGUUGCAGCCAGAUGUUGUGCUCUUAAAAGGAACAAUCAUUCUUUAGUGGAUCAUAAUUUGAAGUUUUCAAGCUUGUGAUAAUAAUAUUACUUGAAGGCUUAUGUUAAAUCUUAUUUCACUCUAUCUAUUGUUCAGUUAACUCUUAAUAUUUUAUAUUGUGGUUGACGGCUUGACGCGUAUUACUUACAUUGUCUCAUAACAUAGGAUGAAAAUGUUUAUGAUAAAGGUUUAAUCAAAUGAUGUUGACGAGUCGGUUUACUGAAAAGAACCUCAAAACUGUCGCAUUUGAGUAGUGAACGUGUUUUGUCAUGUUUGAUCAAUCGGCAAUGGAAAAUAAGGUCAAAAUCAGUUCCAAAACCUCAUUUGCGGAAUAUGUCUCGUCAAAUAAUCAACCCAUGAAAGUGGCAAGAAAGACAAGUAAAGCUUUCGUUUUCAAAACCAGUCUCCUCCGCCAUUAAAGCCCUUCCGUAAAAGUUUGUUAGCAAGGUCAAUGGUGAAAGCAAUUUAUUAGUAAAUUAUAAUUUCAGUCAUUUAUAUUUUCUUAAAAUUGUUUUUUGACCACUAAAUUUUUGAAAUUUUACUAUAUGAUCACUGGUGAUCAUAAUGUAAUAAGUUGAUAAUAUUAGUGAUUGUAUAAUAAUUUUUUUAAAGUUUUGUGAUCAAAACAUAAUUUUAAGUAGAGUUAAUAUAUAUGGAGGUAUUUGAACUUGACAACUUAUACCUAUUUAGUACCUAAUUUUAUUUUUACCUAAUUGGUAUCUAAAUUUUAAAAGCAUAAACAGUACUUUUUUUUAGGUACUUAACUAGCACUCUUAAAAUACAUUGACUAUCAAUAUCAUAGUAACACAUGGCAACAUCACAUUUUGACACGUGACAAAAAAUAAAUAUAUAAAGAUUAUUAAAAAUUAUUUUUGUCAUGUGUCACCAUGCUAAUGAUUGUUAAGGUCAUAUCAACUUAUUUUAACGGUGGCACUAAGUAGAUAUAAGCUAUCAAGUUUAAGUAGCUCCCUAUAUAUUAACCAUUUGUAAACAUAAGUAGUUUACCCUCAAUUUAGGGAUAAUAUGAUUUUUGGCUCAUGAACUCAGAAACUAAGUUAACUUUGGUACUUGUACUUGGUAAUUAGAUCUAUUUUGGCUCUCAGACUUAGAUUCCGUCAAGAUUUAAUGAUGUUAUGACCAAUGUUAUUGGAAUAAUACUAAAUUGAACAGACCAAUAAUUGAUCGAUAUAAUUGUCCAAAGAAAAGGGUUGAACCGAUUCAAAAAUUGGUUGAAGUUAGUAAAAAUUGAAAAUUGGCACAAAAUCUACUAUUGAAGAGGUUGAAUUAGUUUAUAAAAAAAAUUAUAUUAUCCCCUCAAAUUAUUUACCCCAGGAUAACGGUCGUCCGUUAGAUUCACCGCGUACUUUGAUUGAAACGCCUUCAACGAGGUUUCCCAUGAUUGGCCGGCCGGCAAUCCACAAUGCUGGUUGAAUUAAAAAAACACACAGAAUUUAUCCGUUUCUGUUUCCUCUGUAUUUGUUUAAAGAGGAGUGUUCGUAAGCGUGUCGUUUGUCUGUCUGCAUUGCAAUGGUCUGUUGUCAUUGACCUUAAUUUGGAGCCAAAGUGAGGCGCCAUGGCUAGAACCUGGCUUCACCUAACUUCUUCCUUUCUUAUCGUCUGUUGCGUAAUCGGGUUCCUGAUCUCCACCGUCGUUGCCGAAAAUCAUCAACGACCGCCGACGGUCCUUCCGCUAAGUCUAUCAUCACGCAAUCAUUCCCUGCAUCGGCACGUGGACAAUCUACGCCGUCGUCUCUUCCAAUCGAAGCUCUCCGGUUCCACUCCAAAUGCUCGCUUGAGACUCUACGACGAUCUCCUAUCGAACGGGUCUCUCAACUAUUAAAAAAAGUUUAUUCUUUUCCUUUUUGGAUUUUUUGAAAUAUUGAAGAAAUUUGCUUCUCAAUUUCUUGUAAUUUCCAGUUACCAUACGGCUCGGCUACGGAUAGGAUCGCCGCCUCAGGAAUUCGCUCUUAUCGUGGACACCGGAAGUACUGUAACUUAUGUUCCUUGCUCCAGUUGCUCACAUUGCGGCAACCAUCAGGUUAGGUUCCGUGAUCCGUCUUCUCCAGCUCGCACAGUUCGGCUUACCCCGUUGUUAAUUGUAAUUAAUUAAUUUGAAAAUUGAUACCUUUUUAAAAAAAAAUGAGAUUGAGAUUUUUAACUUUGAUUAAAUCAAAAUUACUGAGUUAUUAGCUUAAUAGAACUUUAACGAAGCUAAACUGGUGAUUUUGAGUCUUAAUCUUAAAUUUUUAUCACUAUUAUGAGAAAGUGAGUUGUCUAGGCCAAUAGAUUAACAAUCUCGGUCUAAUUUUUUCAUUUCUAGUUCUGUCAGUUGGAAAUUAAACGAACUGGUAGUUCUCUGAGAAUUUUAUUUCUUGUUAGAAUCCAGGAUUCAAGGUUCCAACCAGAGAUGUCUAGCACUUAUCAACCUGUAAAAUGCAAUCCAAGUUGUAACUGUGAUGAUGAGCAAAAACAAUGCACUUAUCAUAGACGGUAUGCUGAAAUGAGUUCCAGCAGUGGGGUGCUUGGGGAGGAUCUUGUUUCUUUUGGGAAUGAAAGUGAACUUAUGCCUCAGCGUGCUGUGUUUGGUUGCGAAAAUGUGGAAACAGGUGACCUUUAUAACCAACGAGCUGAUGGUAUAAUGGGUUUGGGUCGUGGGCGGCUUAGUAUCAUGGAUCAACUUGUAGAUAAGGGUGUUAUUGGUGAUUCAUUUUCUUUGUGUUAUGGAGGGAUGGAUGUUGAUGGGGGUGCAAUGGUUCUCGGAAAAAUCGCUCCUCCUCCUGAUAUGGUCUUCUCCCAUUCUGACCCUUUCCGCAGGUAUUCCUCUCUUACAGGAUCAUAUUUGUUGGAUGCUUUUUUAGCAAAAAUGCAUCCAAUUCUUCUUACUCAUUCACUAUAGUUCUUGAAUGUCAACAGCCCUUACUACAACAUUGAGAUGAAGGAAAUUCAUGUUGCUGGAAAGCGAUUGGAGUUACCAGAUGGGGCCUUUGAUGGAAGGCAUGGAACAGUUUUGGACAGUGGAACAACAUACGCUUACUUUCGACGAGAUGCUUUUGCUGCAUUUAGGGAUGCUGUAAGAUCUAACUGUUGAGUUUCAUGCUCUGUUUAGUUUGAUCACUACUCAAGUUCACUCCCUAUUCUAUGAUUAAUAAUAUUUACGUUGUUAACUGAAGCUUAGAAAAAAAUUUAAUUUUGGUUGUGUAAUUUAAAGAUCAUGUACUUUUAUUUCUUUUACAUUCGCUGUAGUUGAUAAAUGACUGCUCAUUUUUUCAUUUAUUGUAAUGUAUGCUACAUUGAGAAGAGUGACUUGGAAAAUUAUUGCAUGUAUAUAACAAGGCAACUGUGCAGGGAGCUGAGUACGGAUGCAUAUAUCUGGGUUACUACUUUCAUAGCACUUUGAGGUGCUGCUUCUUAAAUAUUGUUAGUCUAUAUUCAUCCAAUUUUGGAACUUGUCAUUUCUCUUCAGAAGUUUGAAGCAUUUCUAUUCUUCAUGGUUAUUAUCCGUUUAAGCAAACAUGUAAUGCAUUUUCAUAAUUAUUGUUGGGAAAAUAGUAAUAGCUUUUUGUCAAGGAAAAAUAAAGUACUAAUAAAGUAUUAAUUGGCUAAUUUCAAUUUCAUUGGUCAUGAAAUUAGCAUGUUCUAUAACUAUUCGGGGUUGAUUUCUUUAGUCUACAGUCUAGACACUUGGGAUUUAUAUUCAUUGAACUGUUGCUUGUUCUGUUCCUCAAUCUUAAAAACUAUGGCUGCAACCAUGAUUAGUCUCUUUCAUCAGAAAUUACUUAAUUUUGGUGCUGUUCUGUAUGUGACUUGAACUACUGUCAGUUACUUCAUAAUUGUCAUCAAUUGUUUAAAUUCAAUCUUUAUUAACAUAAAUAUCAUUAUCGACAUAUAAGCAAGCUAAUCUUCAGACCUGUUCUUCAUGGUUUUUUUGCUGUUUAAAUGCAGAUCCUUAGUGCAGUUCAUUUUCUCAAAAGGAUCCCUGGUCCUGACCCUAAUUAUAACGAUAUCUGUUUUACCGGUGCUGGAAGGUGCUGCUGUAAAUUUUUACCAUUUUAUAUGAAAUGCUGUCAUUGUCUUGAAUCCAUCUUAAUGGUUUCUGUGGGAAUGUGAUACAGGGAUGUCUCACAACUACCAAAAAUUUUCCCACAGGUUGAGAUGGUAUUUAACAAUGGAAAGAAGUUAUUGCUGUCUCCAGAAAACUACCUGUUCAGGGUAAUUGAUCCUCCCCCCAACUUUGCAUGCUUAAAGCUAAAUUUAAGUUCAAACUAUUUUCUGUGCUAGUUUUUCAAAGUUCAAACUACUAUCUGAUAUGUAUUUCUUUUCUCUUGGUCUCUUACUGGCAUGCUUUGUAGCAUUCAAAAGCUAGUGGUGCAUAUUGCUUGGGAAUUUUCCCAAAUUCAGAAUCGACAACUCUUUUAGGAGGUAUGUUGUGCAACUGUAACAUAGUGUGUUAUAUAGUUUUGGAGAUGUAUGCCAAAAAUAUAAAAUUCUUGUGGUACAAUUAGGCUUGCCUGGGCCCAUAUUCUCAAGUCCAACUUAACAUGUUUGUUUGCAUGACUGCAGUAAUAAUCUGUUCAAUUUUUGUUUGUUUGAGGCAGGAAUUGUCGUCCGGAACACCCUAGUUACUUAUGAUAGGAGUAAUGACAGGAUAGGGUUUUUAAAGACUAAUUGUUCUGAACUAAGGAGGAGAGUUCAGUUCUCUGGUGCUCCUGCACCAACUCCUUUAGUCUCCCCAAGCAAGGAUACUAAAAUGGAAAUUCCUUCUGUACUAUCCCCAAGUGGGUCACCAUCAAAUGUUCUUCCAGGUGCAUGGCCUAUUACUUGCUUCCUCACCAUGUUUUCCACAUGUUCAUUGGUUUAUGAAUUGAUGAAUCAUGAUUGCAAUUGAAGUAAACAUACUUCCUUAUAUAUAAGUUAGUAGGGAAAUUAUUUUCUCAUGAAGGCCUAUUAUUGUUAAGAUGGCCUAAUUUCAUUUCACAUCAUUUGUGGUAUAAUCUUGUUUACUCCAUAACCGUCUUUUUCUGCUAGUAUUAGGGGAUUGCUGAUUGCUUUAGACUUAAUAGUGUUUGCAUCAAUGGGUGCUUAUUUCUUUGUAAACUGGACAUUUUCUCUGAUGAUAUUCUCCCCAAACAUGGUAAUCAGGUUCAUUUCAUGUUGGAUUUAUAACAUUUGAUAUGUCAAUUAGCACCACUGAUUCAAACUUGAAGUCCAUCCUCAAGGAGCUUACAGAAUUAAUUUCGGAGGAACUGGAAGUCGAUAAUUCACAGGUAUGGCUGAAUUACCUUGACUUUAACCAAGUUUUUGGGGCCUUGUGUGAAUUUGAUUUGAGGUUGCACUCUGGGCUGCUUUUGAAAUAUUUUAUUUACUGAUUCACUCUUUUAGGAAGAACUGCCUAUCUGGUUAUUGGUGCAUCUCUAUUGAUGUCAUAUAUUUGGAAUUACUAGUAGAAUUUUAUGGUUUUCCCGAAACAUGUAGCAUGUAGAUUUAACUAGAGGUAUCUACCUGCCAGGUGACCUAUUAGCCACCCAAAAUUUGGUUGAGGUGGCCUAGAUAAAAAAGCUAGGCCUAAUAAAGGUUCCAGCUGGGGCCAGUGAAGAUUUCAUUCUAGGCCUGAACCUUAAAUCUUACGCAUAAAGCUCACCUUAAGCCUAACUCAAGUCUGGCCAUGGAAUCAGUAGUAUUUAAAUUAAACUUGGGGAUUUAUCAUGCUUCCCUUAAAUGUGAUCUUCUUAACCUCUUUUCUGGGUAGUGGGCAUGGCCAUAUAGUGACCACUGUUUGCGUUUAGCUUCAAGCAUAAACUCCCGUAGUUAUAAAAUUUAGGUUUGUCCAUCAGUAACAGUAUCUCUUAUUGUGCUUUGUGUUUGCCAAUUAUGAAUUAGUCUUUACCUGGUUCUCUUGUAAUUAUGCCAUUGGUUUGAUUUUUCAGAUUCGCUUGCUUAAUGUCACUUCACAAGAGAAAGAUUACCUUGUUAGAUGGGGCAUUUUUCCUGCUGAACCUGCUAAUUAUAUCUCGAAUACCAUUGCAAGGGUAUUUCAACUACUGUGAUACCAAUAUUUUGCAUAUGCAACUUAAAAUUUUCCAUCUAUUUACCCCAGCGUUUAUCUGAAGCUUUUUUUCCUUUCUAUUUGCAGAGCAUCAUCCUGCGCUUAAGGGAUCAUAGAAUACAGUUACCUGAGAGAUUUGGAAAUUAUAAGUUGAUGGAAUGGAAUGCCGAACCCCAAAGGAAGUUGUAUGCUCUCUUUUCUCAUUACUAGUCUAUUAUUCCUUUUAUGCUACUAGUGUGGUUUCAAUUGUCUACUAUUAUUGUGACAAAUAAAUCUUUGGAGCAUUUUGGAUCAUGAAGGAGCCGAGAAGUCUUGCCCGCUUAUUGCAACUGAAAAUUGUUAGUAAUAUUUGGAUCAGGCAGUUGUUUUCUUUCCGGGACUUAAAGGCCAAAUAUGGUCUACUUUUGGUUUAUUUAAGGCGUACUUAAAUUGAGUGGAGAAGUAGAAGGCUGAAAGAGGAGAAUAGAAGAGUGGAAAGAAAAUUAAUUUUUAGUCUGCUUGGUAGGAAGGAAAUGUGAGAGGAAAGAAAAUAGGAGAGUGGUCAUUUUCCUUCUUAAUGCAUAAAAAAAGAAAAAGAAAAAGAAGAUAAUUCCAAUUUGGAAAGAUAAGAACAGAGAAAAUGAGAAAGACUGAAGUUAAGUGUGCACUUUACAAGAUUAAGCAUCUUUUAAAAUUUUCAUUUCUUUCUUUCAUUUUUCAACCUACCAAGUAAUGGAGGGAUAGAAAAUUAUAUUUUCUAUAUUUUUACUUUUUUCUCUUUUUCAUCUUUUCAAUUUUGUUUCUGCUCACCAAGCAAAGCCUUAGAAUCACAUGCUCACAUGUAUUUAGAGUGUACAUGGUUACAUACUUCUGUUAGUUAAAAAGUAAAAACUGAUUGAAAUACACAAAUAAAAACGCAAUACAAGAGUUGUGGGAUGGUGCUGGUGGAGAUAGGUUAUCAGAUUAGCAUUAUUUUUGCAUCCCAGGAUUGAUGUGAUAAUUAGGAGGGUAGGGUUGGGAGGGACAUGUGAUGCAGCAACAGGCCCCUUGGUUUAGACCAUGAUAUUUGCUGUAGUAUCUAUUACCUGUCUACUGGUUUAGGUGUGUGGUACAUGGGUGGCCUUUUUUCUCUUGUGCCAGUACGCAUGACCAUGUGCACUGUGCAAAAUUAUGAAAAUUUCCGAUACUGAUUUAUAGGGUCUCAACAAUCAUGUCCAUGUAUAUUCAAGUUGCUCGACCUGUGUCCAAUGCAGUUACAUUAAAACUAGGAAUUCUUAUGGAAUUUUAGAGAAGUAGAGCCUCAGCUUUCUUUUUUUGGGUUGAUCAGGGGUACAGUCUUUCCUUGAGUGUAUAUAUUGUUUCUUUUCCCAUUUUCUUGAACUGGGUUAGCUUCAAAAAUUAACAGUGGGUUCUCACUCGGGCUUUGCAGGACAUCGUGGCAACAUCGCUUUCUGAUAAUGUUAGUUGGAUCCGUCACAACUCUGAUUCUCAGUUUAUCAGCUAUUGGCAUAUGGUUGGUCCACCGGCAACGACAACAAACUGCUUAUGAGCCUGUUGGUGCUUCUAUACCAGAAAGAUAUCUUCAGCCUCUUCAAUCUUAAAUAUUUAUCUGGGAAUAGUUUUCUUGUAUACUAUAUUAUUAUUCUGCAUACCAUACAUGCUUUUGAAGCUCUCAAAACAACAAUGAUGGUGCUUCCAAGCCAGACCAGUACUACUCGAUGAACUACUACCCAGUGCCUCUGUUGUAAAUGAUAGUUUAUCAUCCAUUUUUAUUAGAAAAACGGAAACAAAAAGGAAAUCUCUUUGAUUUCCUGAGAUCAAGUUAUACGAUACUUGAUCCAGAAGGAAAUUGCAAACUUGAUUGAAGAUCUUGUGAGCUUGUUCAUCGUCAUUAACUACAAACAAGCCAGCAGCAUCGGUAAAAGUGUUCUAACUGCCAUUUAAAGUUCAACUAUCAAUUUUCAAUUUAGUGAUCACAUUAGAUAAUUCAACAAAUGAAGCAACUUAACCCAGAAACUAUGGAAGACACCAUUUAUUCAUUUAAAACCCUUAAUUAUAUUAGCUUAAUAGAAACCUUUUAUGGGUCCUCGUCCAAGAAGACUCUUUAAGACGUACAGCCCCCACAAAAGCUAAAAUUCGCCUUCUACAACAGUUAAGCAAUAGCAUGUAUUUAAGACAGUAUUUAAGGGCACUUAGGCAAGCCCUUGUAGUUCUUCAUGUCCCUGUAGCAAUAGCAUUCGUGCUUGUUCUCGUAGUUCCCUGACGGAACACAACUGCAUUUCUGACAGCAAAUGUUACAGUACUUGAAGCACCUCUCUUUAAAAUCUGCCUUUGCGCACCUUGCCUUGCACUUGUACGCACAGAAACCUGCCAUACAUGAAACCACAAAUCAUUCAUCCAUUACCAGUACAAUGCAUGGAUUUACAGGUUUUUUUUUGUUUCUUUUUUUUUUCUUCUUUCCCGUUAGCUUUAUUUACGUAUACCUGAACCAGCCAUCGACUCCUCAAAGAGAAAGGAGCUGAGAACAAGAGAAACCAGCAGGAAUGUCACCAAAACGAGCUUCAUUUCUUUUACAAACAGGGUUUUGUUUACAGUAGCAAAUAAGGCCCGGGAAUUUAAAAAAAGAAAGAAAGAAAGAACGUAUAAUGCUAGUGUACUGUUUUCAUACGAGAGUUGGUAAUGUAGAUGGAGCCCCCUGAAGGGGCUUGUUUAUAUAGCCAGGAGCUAACACUGGUAGGUAACAAGUAAGAAAAUUGUUUUGGGUUUGAUUAGCGUGACUCGUAUUGGUUUAUGGCUUUAGCUGCACUGCCUCUGCUGUAAUAAAAACUAUACUGUUGAGCAACAUCAAUACCAACCAUAUCGCAUGCAAUUAUGGCUUUAAAUCUACUUUUACAAAUUAAUUUGUUCUGUGAUUUGAUCUUCUUGGUAAACAUGUGUUUUGAUUGUUAUAGUCAUCUGGUGGAGCUUACAUUUGCCUUUGCACAGUUGUGAAAUGUUUACUUGAAGCUUCACUUUCUUUCCUCUUCUUGUUAUAUUAUAAGUAAAUGACAACCAACUAGGAAAGGUAAACCAAUUUAAAGGUUUUUUUUUUUUAUAUAAACAAUACGAUAUUUAAAGCUAUUUGAAGUUCAGAAUAAGCAGAUCUUAAACCUUAGAAAUUUAUGUUUGUUGGUGUCUUCUGAAUCACUUAGUAGAGAAAAAUGUUUACUCAUCUAUAACUUUAAAAUUAUUUAUCAAUAAAUAUUGCAUUAAAUUUAGAGAUAACUUUCAAAAUAUAUGAAAUCGGAAACUCAAAGUUUCUAUAAAUUAAAGGCAUUAAAGUUUAUAUUUUUAUGAUAUUUCUUAUUGUUUAAGUCAGCAAAAGGUAUUAUCAAAAUUAAAAUGCAACUAUCAACAAGUGUUACUAUAGUGUUAAGAUACAUUAAAUUUAUAGGAAAAGAAUUCAAGUUUGACUGCAUGUGACACAUUAUUUGCAAUUUUAUGUGAGAGUUCUACAAUACCGAUAAACACCAAGAAGUUGUUAACAUUUAUAAAUACUCAAUCCUUUGUAUUUCUAUGCAAGUCAUGAAAUGUCUUUUAAAAAAAAAAACUUAAUAAUAAUGACAAUAAAACUCAUUUAGAUAGGGUGCGAGCUUCAAAGAAGUCGUUUCCAUCAAAGACUAGAGAAGUUACGUGCCCAAAGUAGCAACACCGGGAACUGGUUGGAUAAUAUACCAGUAAAAGCUUGGACUAAGUCAUAUGAUUAAGGGCGACGCUACGGUCAUAUAACAAUCACGUCAUCUUUAGUUCGGAACCAACUAAAUCAAACGACUAGAGAAUCCUGCCAAACAACUCUUCGCAGACAGUAGGGAUAGUAGGUGUACUUGUCUCCGUCACUGGAAACCAUCUACGGGAAGUUCAAGCUAGAGUGCAACAUCUUCAAGUGUAAAUUAUAUAUACACUCCCUGCAUGGUAAAUAAAACUAACUAGCAUUAAACAAACCUUGACAACACCCCCAUUUAAGGCGCCUUCUUGAUUUUAAAACACGAUCAUAUCCCUGCCUAAUUUUGAGGAUAUUAAAGAACAUAUUUGCAAAUUUAAAUCAACAUUAUUAUUAGCAAUAACAUCUUUAUAUUAUAUAAAGAUAAAUUAUUUUACCGUUUGAAAUAUAGGUAAAGAUGUGUGAUUCAUAAUUGUUCGAGAACUUGAUGAUGAGGAUGCCAUAUUUACGAUUUGCAUAAAUUCAACAUAAUUGGCAAAUCUAAAUUAACGCAAAAAUUCAACUAUAUUUAAUAUUUUUAAUAUGUUUACAAUAUAAAUAAUCUGUCGUAAUUUAAUAUGUCAAAUUAGGCUCUCUAGAAUAUUUAAUGAGUUUAUUCUCAAGCAAUUAACGAGUUUUUUUUAUACUUUCCCUUAGUUUUUAGUUUUCAGUAUUAAUAAUUUUUUUUAUUUGGUUUUACUCAUUUUGAGGCUCAAAUUGACAAAAUAGUGUCAUUAGGAAUUUAAUGAUGCGUUUGAGUUGGUGUAGGGAGACGACGACAACCUUGAGGAGAACUACAUUUUAUGUGGGUGUCACGACACUGAUGUUAGGAUGUCGCAACACUGAACCUCCAUUGUCUUAAUGGUGCAAGACUUUAACAAGAAAUCAACCAGGAGCAGACUUUCGAGAGUGUCGCAAUACUGAGGCUGUUAUGUCGUAACACCAAGUCUCCAAGGUCGUGAUAUUGUUAAUGGUUGUUAAAGUGAAAAAGCCAUGACCACUGUCGAAGAUGUCACAACACCAGCCAGUCAAUGCUGUGACAUAGAGAACCCCCAGAGCCAAGAGUGUGUCACUGUCGAGGGUGUCGCGACACUAAAACUUAGGUGUUGUGACACCGCUGCCUGACAUAGUGAAAAAUAUUGCAAGGGUAAUCUUUGUCCAACACCAACCUAAAUCAGCUCAUUACUUCAAAGGCAAUUGUGCCAACAUUAGGGUUGAAAUUUUAUCUCUUAAAUAUGUUUUGGCUAUAUCAACUUAAAAGAGUCACCUUUGUAUCAUAUUUUUGGCUUAGUAGUUAGUUUCUUCUCCAUUUCUAGGUUUUGAUUCUUUACUUUUCAAAGCUUAGUGGUUGUAGUGAUAGUUUUACCAGUUUUUAAUGUAGCUUUUCUCUCUUUGCAAUUAGAUACUCAAACUUUUCUUUGUAUUUUGAUUACUCUUCAGAACCUUUAAUAUAUUUCAGCUUUGUUCACUUUUAAAAGUGUAAAAAUCCUAACUUUAGUUGUGCUUUCUUCUCCAUUGUUGUUGCUGUCAUUCUCCAAAGAACUCAUCAAGAAUUCUAAGAUUUCUCUAACCUUACUUUUAUGCUUUAUUUAAUGAAUCAUUUGAGCAUGUAUUUGAUUGGUGUUGUUGUGUUGGUGAUGCUAGUAACUAAAUUUUGUGGUGGUUGGUUGAUAGAAAUAUUACAUAUUUAAUUUUUGGGUCAAGGACUAAAUUGUAAAAACUGAACUAAAUCGAAUAAAUUUUAAAACCUAGACUUUACGCCUCUAGGUGAACAUUUAGAUAGGUGAGAUCGAGAGGAGAGCCUAUCGAGAGCCAAUUCAUUGUCACGAUUUACCUUGAUGAGAUCGAGAUAUAAACUAGACUAAAUUGUCUAAUUUAGUAAAAUGGUGAUCGAGAGGUAAAAUCAGACCAGUUAGGGAUUUAAACCCUUUAGAUCUCUAAUCCAAGAAUUAAUUAGCAACAUGGAAAUCAACCGAUCACUUUAGUUCUUUGAAUUGAUUUUUUGCACACUUUUGAUUAUUUUGCAAUUUAGUCAUUUUAUGUAGUAGAUAGUGUAAUUAACCAUUGAUAAUGAUUUGUUGUAAUAAAAUACUUAAAGAAUAGCUAGCUAGACUUCUUGUUUGCAUGUAUUUUCAUUGUUGAUCACCUUAUCACUCAAAUUCUCUUAGAUUCGAUCUUUGAAAUACUCUGUAUUCCAUUAUAAUAUAAAAAUAUUACACUUGCAGGUAACCACUAUAGUCCUAAUUGUAUUUGUGUUGAUUCCAUAACCUCAACACACGUAUGCCAAAACACGACCAACAAAUAUAUUAAUAUAUAAGCAAAAUAUAAUUAUUAUAUAAAUAAAUUUAAACCUACAUAUUGUGAUAUAAAUAAAUGAAACUAUUAAUAUAUAUAAAUGGUUAUAAAUUACUAUAUUCAUAUAUUAGAACUAACAACUUUAAUGGAUUAAAAAACUAACAUUUUUAAUUUGACCUCUAUAAGCUCAUAUAUAAAACUAUUUUUAACAUUUUAUAAAUUAAUGAGAAAAUGAGAGUGAACAAGAGUUGAGUAAAGGGUAAAUAGGAGCUGAGUCGAAACCUUUUAACAGGUUUCUUUUACCGUUUGAAUUCUGAUGGGAUUGGCGACGUGACGAGACCUUGAUGCAGCAGGAAAUCGGUUCACGACAGAUCGAUUUUCGCCCCUCGGCCGUCUUCGGACUGGCGUGACACCUUGCAUGGUUUUCAGUCGUUUUACCGACAAGUUUUUAACCCGUUUGACUGACGAGCAAUGAUUUUACUUAACUGACCCUUUCUAACUUGAUUAUGACUAUUUCUUUUCUUCUUUUCCAAAACAUAUUAUCGUAAAUAGGAAAAAGUGUGAAAUUUAGCUUGUGAAAACCGACUUUCCCUCCCGGCGCGGUUCUAUUUAAGUUAUUUUUAUUUUGUUUUGUUUUAAUUUGAUAAAAAAGAAAAAAGCAGAGAAAGGGACAGAAAUGCCCCCCAACUGGAGUCUCCCUAACAUCGUUGUGGCUCUUCUCUUCUCACCCUGACCCUGUUGUCGUUCUGUCGCUUUCCUUAAAUCACUUCUAUUAUAAAUUGGCUUAAACAGUAAUCAUGAAAACCCAACUACCAAGAACGAUAGACUUUCCAACCCAAAAUUUCAAAUCCCUUGAUUCCUUUUUGUCAACCAAGCAUCCCACCCGGACUGUUAGUUCGCCGUUUCAUCAACUUCCCAACCUUCCCUUUUUCUUUAAUUUCCUACCCCAAUUUUCGCCACAAAUCUAAUCCAAAAUGAGCUGGUGGUGGGCUGGUGCCAUUGGGGCUGCUAAGGCAAGUCUCUUUCCUCUUUUGGCUUGCUGGAUUUGUCUUUACCUUUACGAAAUUGCUUGUGAUUUUGAUUUUUUUUUCAUUGUUUUAAUUUUUGCAGAAGAAAUUUGAGGAAGAUGAAGCACCAAGAAGCUUCCAGAGCGUUGGGCUGAUCAUUGGAGUCACCGGCAUAGUCGGCAAUAGCUUGGCUGAAAUCCUCCCGUUAUCCGACACCCCCGGCGGCCCAUGGAAAGUAUACGGGGUGGCUCGUCGGCCCAGACCGAACUGGAACGCCGACCAUCCAAUCGAGUACAUUCAGUGCGACAUAUCCGACCCGAAUGAUACCGAAUCGAAGCUCUCUCAACUUACCGACGUCACCCAUAUCUUCUACGUCAGCUGGAUCAACCGAACAUCCGAAGCCGAGAAUUGCGAAAUCAACGGUUCCAUGCUCCGCAAUGUUUUGCAUUCCGUGAUCCCAAACGCACCCAAUCUCCGCCACAUCUGUCUACAAACAGGAGCCAAACAUUAUCUUGGACCGUUCGAGUUGUUGGGUAAGAUCCAACCGCAUGAUCCGCCUUUCACCGAAGAUUUACCGCGGUUGAACGCUCCCAACUUUUACUACCAUCAAGAAGACAUCCUCUUUGAAGAAAUCGAGAAAAAAGAAGGAUUAACCUGGUCGGUGCACCGACCCGGAGUCAUAUUCGGGUUUUCGCCUUACAGUUUAAUGAACCUCGUUGGCAGUCUUUGCGUUUACGCCGCCAUUUGCAAACACGAAGGCAAACCGUUACACUUUCCUGGGAGCAAAGCCGCUUGGGACUGUUACUUUGAAGCUUCGGAUGCGGAUUUGAUUGCGGAGCAACAUAUAUGGGCGGCGGUGGAUCCGUACGCCAAAAACGAAGCCUUUAAUGUGACUAAUGGGGAUGUUUUCAAGUGGAAGCAUUUGUGGAGCGUUUUGGCAGAGCAAUUUGGGAUAGAAGAAUUUGGGUUCGUGGAAGGGGAGAACCGGGGGAUGGAGGAGAUGAUGAAAGAGAAGGAAGGAGUUUGGGAAGAAAUAGUGAAGGAGAACCAGUUGCAGAAGACGAGUUUGCAGGUGGUGGGAAAUUGGUGGUUUACGGAUACGAUAUUUUCGGCUCCGUUGCAGAUGCCGCUGCUCAGUAUGAAUAAGAGCAAGGAGCAUGGGUUUUUGGGGUUUAGGAAUUCCCGGAAUUCAUUUGUUACUUGGAUUGAUAAGAUGAAGGCUUACAAGAUUGUGCCUUGAUCUCAUUCAAUCUCUUGUUUCAAAUUGUUUCCUUGGUUUUUCAGAUGAAGAUGAAAUUUCUGUUGUUGUACUUCUAAAAUAAGUUCGUAGGGUAAGUUAUUAAUUGGCAUGCUACCGUAAGAUGUCAGAAACAAUUGCUUACCUUCAAAGAGAAGCUUCUGUUGUACUUGUGAAAAUGCUGUGUGGUUUUCUUUUCCCUUUAUUUGUUUAUGAUGCAUUGUCUAUUCUAUCUUGUAGAAUCUUGAAUUAUACUAUUUAUACUUGUUGAUUAGACAAAGUCUUGGCAAAUUUAUUGCAUAUCAGUUCAAUAUCAUGGUUAAUAGUUUCUGCCUGUGGGAAUGCUGUUAUAUGAUUAGCUUCCGUUAAGUGAUUAUACAUUUUAUAAUCAGCCUUGUUAUUUACUUGGUUUUAGCUUAUAGUUUUGAAUUACUCUUUCAGCUUUAGUCUUAGAUUUUUGGAAGCUUACUUUGUUUGAUUAGUUGCCUUCACUUUAUCUUUGUGGUGGUGCUUGAGAUAUGACCAUGGGGGAUGAUGACUACCAGUUAUGAAAAGGUUUGCAAGUGGUCCAUACGGUAGACAUUCCCUAGGCUGAUGAAGGGGUAAAUUCAUAUUGGCUUUAUAACAGCACAAAUGAUUCUGAGCUGAUACCCACCUUAAAGAACUUGCAGAGUUAACAGGCACGGAACUAUAUGGUGGUAACUUGUUCACCCAUUUGAGUUACUGUAUACUGAUAAUCUGUUCACCUACCUGGGUGCCUUUUCUUAUUUAAGUUUAUUUAAGGACCCUCUCUAACUUGACAACAGAGGAGAGGCUGAUCCAUCCAUUUGUUUCCCAAAUGCUGUGUUGAUUACUUUGUUAUUAUCUGGUGAACCUUGACAGCUACAUUUCGCAAUCAUGUAAUUAAUUUAGCUGCAAAUGAGUUAAAAGUAGAUAAAAGUAUCCUCGAAACCUUGAUACUAGAAUGUAGGUAGUAUUUUGUCCUUUUUAUUAAAAAAUUUGAAUAAAUCAAAGAAUAAAUUAGUUCUUUUGUUAACAACUGUCUGGUCAUUUCAUUAGAUCAAUUUUUAAUGGUGGAAAUUGAGAAAAUUGUUAACAAAAAAUAUUAGUUUGUUAUUUGAUCUAACGUAUAAGGAUUAAUUAUCAAAAUUUAGGGCAAAAUGUAAUAUAAUUUCUAGUACAAGAGUUUCUAUGGUUCUUGUACAAGUAAAAGUAUAAUGGAAGCUCUUGUAGGAGAAGUUGAAUUACAUUAAAAAAAUAGAUAGAUUAAUUCUUGUACAUUAAAGCAAACGGAUUCUUACAUUAAAAAUUUCAAUUAUUUCUAUUGUUAAAAAUUAGUUUAUGUACGCUUUGUGUAACAAUUUAUUAUUUUGUUAGUCAUGCUAAUUUUUACCAUAAGAAAUGAUUAACUUUUUUUUUUAUCUAAUGUAAAAGAAUUAAUUUAUUUAAUUUUAAAUUAUAAAGAACAAAAUAUAAUUUAUCAUUUGUAUAAUAAUUUUAUGUUGUAACUGAUGUUUGAUGAAUUCAACUUAAGAUUCUUUCCCUCAACUCUCAGGUUACUUAUAUAAAAUAGAAUUUUAAUCAAGAUUUAAAAUAAAAGUUUUUGAACGAAAAUUUAAUGUAAAUAAAUUUCAAAGUAACUACGUAAAAUGGGUCCAACCAAGACUUAAUGUUAGGUAAGAAUUUAAUUAAGUCAUUGAACAAUACAUCAGCUAUUACGUAUUGGUUUGGGAAAAUAAUGCGAAAGUCCUUUACCCUGUCAUUCACGAUUCAGGGUGAGUUUAGAUGGGCGGUGCGUUUAUUUGUGGUUAGUGUAAAAACAGCGGUGGCGGUGAGAUUAGAUAUUGUAGCGAUACUGUAACGUGAGACAAAAAACAAGCUAAACGCACCGCACCGCACCACAUCCAAUCGUCCAUCCAAACCCACCAUGAGGAAUAACAAGUACAAAAAAAUUUGGUGGAUGCUACAUCUUCUCCACAAUAACAAGUAAAAGGAACAGGGAGAAGUCUAAAAUUUUUGAAGGAUGGAAAUUAAAUUCUAUUUUUGUGAUUUUUAAAAUAUUAAAUUAAAUAUUUAUUAUUUUUAGGGAGCUAAAAUAUAAUUUUACUUUUUAUUAAUUUUAAAAUUUUAAAAAAAUUAAAAUAUUAAAUAAAAAAAAUUCUAUUUUAAGAAGAUUAGGCCGUAACCACAAAUUGUUUUUGCCUAUACCAAUGAUAUAAAAUGUAGGAUUGAAUUGAGAGAAAAUGUAAAUACUAAAAAAUUAAGUCAAUUUUUCUCAAAUAAUAAAAUUUUAAAAAGUUAAAUUACUAAAUCGAUAAAAUUAAAAUGAUAUAAAACUAAUACCAAUGUCACAUAUUCCUUUUGAUUUUUAUAUAUUUUAAUAUUUUAGUCACAUCUUAACCUAUAACAAAAGCGAACACUAGUCUUGAGGCUUAGGCUCCCUUUGGAUGCAACUGCAUCUCAGUGUGUUGGCUGUUUUAGGCUAAAAAAAAAUUACAACUGAAACGUUAGUAAACGCAAGGCUGUUUGGAAAGCAUUCUUCAGUGCGUUGAGAAUGCAUUUCACCUCUUAAUUUCAGACUGGAGCCUUUUGUUCCAGUGAAAAUUGGGUCACUUCAAUUGCUUUUUUUUUUCCUCUUUUACCCAUAUAUUCUUCCGUUACAUUCUUCUUCAGGCUUUUCUGAUGUUUGGUUACCCUUCUUCUCCCCUUUCCCCUUCCCCUUGGGUUGCAAAUCAGUGUUCUUGGAUUUUCUGUGUUUCUCUUUUUUUCUAAUUGAAAUUUUCAUUUUUUUCCUUAUUUGGUUUUGCAUUUUUUUUUAAAAUUCUGUGUUCUUGGAUUGACAAGAGCAAAAGUUCUUGAUCGGAAGUUCAAUAAUAAAACUGUCUUGCUUCAUUUCCAUUAUUUAUUGCUUGGUUAACAUUCUGUAAGGCCUUUGUAAUUAUGCUUCAAUAUCGUGUUUCAGUUUUGUUUUUUGUUGAUUAUUUUCUAAUCUUGAGUUUCCCCUGUUCUGCAUCAGAUAUGCAUGUACUAUGAGUCCAUAAUCCAUAUUAUUUCAGUGAUAACAUGGGGGGUGUACUGAGGACAUUGUUAUUUGAUCCCUCUUUUUUCUUUUUCUCUUAUUUAAGGGACUUACAUUUGUUAUGCUCAGGUGUAAACCUUGAUGGAAUCUGUUUUCACUUUUCUUUCUUAGAGAGUUUUUACAUAGCUUUAUGGCUCUGUAAUGAUGGUCAUUGGAGUAUAUCCGUCCUGUGGAUUUUUGAUCUAUCAUUCUCGUCUCCCAAAAAUAUUUUAAGUUUUACAUUUUUCCUUUUAUUUUCACUGGGCUUUGGGAGAGGUUGUUAAAACUUUUGCAAAACCAGUGAACUUUUGUGGUAUCUACCAGAUUGGUUCAAUCCCAUUUGCUUAUUUUCUUGGCAUAUGGUGGAAGUCGUGACUCGUGAAAAGCAUUAAAAAAUAGCUCGUUUUAGUAUGUAUAACCUAAGUUGUCGGAUUUUGGAUCAGUUAAUAUCCAGAAUCAAAGAAUCACUGCAAACGUGAUAUAUUGUUCUUAUGGUUCCUUGCUAUUCUGUAGAAUCGGUGAGUUUAUUUGCUAUUCUGUAGAAUCGGAGUUGUUCUUAUGAUCAAUGUUGCAAACUUUUGCUUCUAAAGAUGCUUGCAGUGGGAAUUUUUAUUGUUAGACUCCUGUGACUUCUUUUAUGACUCUUCAAUAGUCUGAUCAAUAAAGUCUUUGUUUUGAAUGGUUUUCUUUUGUUGCAAAGGAUGGUGCGCAGGAUGAAUUCAGUUUUAUGCUGUAUUUUAAAAUGCUAUGCUGUCUGUAUGCUGAUCUGCAUUUUAUUCUCUUGUGUUCUUUGUCUGGUGAUGUUCAAAUUGUUAGGGAGCUUGUUACAAAUUUGUUAACGGUUUUGUUUAUUAAUGUUUUCUCUGUUCAUUGUCUUGGCUUUUCUAAUCUAUUCAUCCUUAUUCUGCAGCAUAUUGAAGACUUGACUCAGGAAAAGUUUUCACUGCAACGAGCUCUUGAGGCCUCACGUACAUUAGCAGAAUCUUUGGCUGCUGAAAAUUCAUCUUUGACUGAGUUAUAACCAACAGGUUUGUUUCCAAAUAUUAGAUUAGCAGCAUUACCGGCUGUCAUGGUCAUGAUAUGUUUUUUUUAUCAGUUCAUCGUGCUUCUCCAUUGCAGCACUUUCUGUCAUUUCAUUAUCCUAAUUUGUAUUCUCAAUCCUUCUUAAAAAUCUCUUAAUUAUCUUACAUUUACUUUUCUCCCCAGAUAAGCAUUGUCAACCGGCUAAAAUCUGACAUGGAGAGCUUAGAAGAAGAAAUCAAGGCCCAACUGGUUAGUAUUUACUAUAUUUAGGUACUGGUAGUCACUUCAAAUUGUUAGAAAUAAUUGAAUCUCAUAUAACUACAUACCACUUUAUGUCAUAUGGUUAAUGCAAUGGUGUUUGUAUGGCCUGUGUCAUGUGUGCACAUAUGCACAUUGGUUUAGACUUGUUUGUGCUUAGAUAAAGUUCUAUCUAAAAAUUGAGAUACCUACUGCUGUCUAUUGCAUCUCUGGUGGUACCCAUUAACCAAAAAAUGCAGUACAAGGAACCCUCUUGAGGUUGUCCAUGUCUAUGCCCUUUGAUCUACACUUGAAGGGGCCUUAAGUAGUGCUAUCCCAAAGUUAUUAAAUAUUGGGUUUGUUUCGGUUUUAUAUUCAGGUUGGGCCUCUCAACCUAUUGCCUAUUGGUUUUAGGUUAGAUGCUUAAUAACUUUUUAUCUAUAAAAAUGAUCCUAAGGCUGGAGCUUGUCCAUUUUUCCUGGAUUCAAUCAAUAAGUCUUUGUUUUGAAUGGUUUUUUUUUUGUUGCAAAGGAUGGUGCACAGGAUGUUGUUGAACUUUGGCCUGCAAUGCAAUAGGAAACCAGCAGCAAACCAGCGUGCAGACCAGCAUCCAAGCUGAACCAGAUAAGCAGCAGCAUUUUGUUUAUUUUGUUUAUUUGUAACUUGAUUUAGUUGCAAUGUAAUUUAUACUUAAAGUUAGUAGGAGUAGUUGUUGAUUUAUGUUUGAUGUUAUAGCUGGUAUGUCAGCUACAUUUUGUUUGUAAUUCUAUCUAGGCUUUAGUCAUGUAUCUUAUACUUGACUCGUUCAAGCUUUUGAUGGUUUUUGAACCAUGAACAAUAAGAAAUGAAUCAGAUAUGUUGAUGAAGAAUUGAACAUGUGGUUUCUAUUGGAUUUCUUCUGAAAUUAAGAAAUGAAUCAUUUUUCAUUCAUCAUUGCAUUGCUUCAUCUUUAGCUCAAAUGUGAAUCAUUUUGCAUUUUCUCUUCUGAUGAAUAUUCCAAUCUAUUGGACAAAUACACUAGUGUGAUGUUGGAAACAUGGAUCUAGAUUUGAAUUGUAUGCCUUGGGUUUCAAUAUAAAUGAAGCAGAAAUUAUAUAUUUAAAUUUGAUUUAUUAUAUAAAUAGUAAGAAUAAAAUGAAAAGUAUAAAAAUAUUUUGAAAAUAUGAAUGUUACAUUUUUAAAAAUAUUUUAUCCAAUUUCUGUUUAAAUAAUGUUUUGAUUGAUUGUAGGCUAAACAGGGAUUUAACAAUGCUAAUGUUAUAAAGUCAUAUUUUGACGUCUUUAAUCUUAUAUUAUAACUCCAAUGUUAAACUAAAUCAAACUUAAAGUUUAACUUAAUUUUUAUCACCCCCAAUGUCUUAUAAUAUUGUAUUAGUAAAACAUUUUAAAGGAUUUGGUAUGUAGGCAAAAUUUCAUACAAACAUAGAUAACGAAAUUAGUUCAAUUGAGUAACACUGUUAAACCUUCUUGUUAAUUUGAGCUAUUCAGUAACUUAUGUGCUAGGAAUUAGUAAAAAUCAGCAGUAGCAUAUUUAUGUAAUUGUAAUAAUUCAUUUUUAAUUAUUUAUUAUUGAAAAUAAUUAUAAUUGUAAUAAUUUUUAAUCAUUUAUUAAUUUUAUAAUUGUUAAAUAAUUUUAAAAAUUUCUAUUAUAUAUCAUUUUUAAUCUAAUAUCCUUAAAAGUCAUUUUCUAUUUUCACCUCACCUCUACAGCUGCGUUUGAAUCCAAACGCACACUCCACCGCUAUUUCUAAUCUCACUGCUACAGUACCCAAUCUCACCGCUACAGUAACUAAUCUCACCGCCACCGCUGUUUUUAACCUCACCGGAGCUAAACACCCCCCAUCUAAACUAAGCCUUGGUUUAUGGCUUUAACUACAUUGCCUCUACUGUAACCCAAACCAUACUGUUGGACAAGCUUUAAAUCUACUUUUAAAAUUUUAUUCAGCAAACAUUCAUGACAUGGAAAUUUACUGUAUUUGAUGAAGCUUAAAUUUUCAUUUUUGCACAAUUAUGACAUGUUUAAGAUAAGCAAAGAGUUGUGACCAACUUAAAAGGUUUUACAACUUCAAUAUUUAAAGCUAUUAAAUUUAUGUUUGUUUCAUGUCUUAAUAGAGAAAAUGUUGAAUUAUUUUACUCAUGAAUUUUGUGGUUCUUCUAACAAUGGAUGGAGCUUGAAAUACUGUUAAGUUUGAAAACUCAAGGUUUGUGCAAAAUUAACGUGAGUAAAGAGAUCAGCAUCUAAACUUAUUCUCCCAAAUGCUUAUCCAACUACACAAAGGGCUGCCUAGAGACUGUUCAUUCAUCCAUCAUCUUACCGUUCGUGUUAGCUUGUUGAUUUGCGGUGUUGAUGGUGUUCUAACACAAAGGUUUUGUUUGAUAGAGUGAAAAGAAGAUUAAAAAGGGUUAGAAAAAUAGUAAGUCUUUCACGCUAAUUCUUGGUGGAAAUUUUGCUCAUCCAGAGUGGGUGUUGGCUGCGCUCCUAUUUGCAUUUCAAUCCCAAAAAGAAGAGUUUCCAUAUGUGAAUCCAAACAUCGUCACGGCUCUCCUCAUCCCUUUUGUCGUUUUCAUGAAUUGCUUGCUAUAAAUUGGCAACAAGGAGUAUUAAUUAAAACCAAGAACAAAAUCCUUUCCAAUCCAAUAUUUCAAAUCCCUUUAAUCUUCUUGAUCAAUAAAACCACCCCACCCAGAUUGUUGGUUAGCUAUCCCAUCAAAUCAUCUAUCAUCAAUUUCCUAACGUUUCCUUUUUGGUUUAUUGCCGUCUCCCACAAAUCUAAUCUAAGUUGUUUUAAAGAAAGAAAAUGAGCUGGUGGUGGGCUGGUGCUAUCGGAGCUGCUAAGGCAACUCUCCUUUUUCAUUGGCUUGCUGGAUUUCUGUUUGCCCUUCACGAAAUUGAUUCUUUUUCUUUGUUUUAAUUUUUGCAGAAGAAAUUUGAGGAAGAUGAAGCACCGAAAAGCCUCAAGAGCGUUGGGCUGAUCAUUGGAGUCACCGGCAUAGUUGGCAAUAGCUUGGCUGAAAUCCUCCCUUUAUCCGACACUCCCGGCGGCCCAUGGAAAGUAUACGGGGUGGCUCGUCGGCCCAGACCCAACUGGAACGCCAACCAUCCAAUCCAGUACAUUCAAUGCGAUGUAUCCGACCCGAAUGAUACCGAAUCAAAGCUCUCUCAACUUACCGACGUCACUCAUAUCUUCUACGUCAGCUGGACCAACCGAACAUCCGAAGCAGAGAAUUGUGAGAUCAACGGUUCCAUGCUUCGCAAUGUUUUGCGUUCCGUGAUCCCAAACGCACCCAAUCUCCGCCACAUCUGUCUACAAACAGGAGUCAAACAUUAUCUUGGACCGUUCGAGUUGUUGGGUAAAAUCCAACUGCAUGAUUCGCCUUUCACUGAAGAUUUACCGCGGUUGAAUGCUCCCAAUUUUUACUACCAUCAAGAAGACAUCCUCUUUGAAGAAAUCGAGAAAAAAGAAGGAUUAACGUGGUCGGUGCACCGACCCGCAGUCAUAUUCGGGUUUUCGCCUUACAGUUUAAUGAACCUCAUUGGCAGUCUUUGCGUUUACGCCGCCAUUUGCAAACACGAAGGCAAACCGUUACACUUUCCUGGGAGCAAAGCCACUUGGAACUGUUACUUUGAAGCUUCGGAUGCGGAUUUGAUUGCGGAGCAACAUAUAUGGGCGGCGGUGGAUCCGUACGCCGAAAAUGAAG
rnacentral:lncRNA from 1 species